UCCUAUUUCUUGAGAGAGCAAAUUUGAUUCCACUAACUUGCAAGAAGAUGUCCUAACCCAAUUGGAGAGUAGUACAAUUUCUCUUGGUUCUCCAUAAAGUGUAUGUGUCAAAUCAAUUGGAGAGUAGCACGAUCUUUCUCAGCUCUCUAUGAGAUGUGUGGUCUAGUAGUAUAACCCAAGGGGUUAUUGAGCUUAGGGUAUCAUGAUGUGUAUGGUUGACCUUCCAGAAGUUUCCCGUGAUGCUGAUCAACCCUCGAUUUCCUCAUAUGCAUUGGGAAGGCUGAUUAUCCCUUGUUGCAACCUUCCAAAAGUGUCACGAGAAUGCCAAUCAUCCCUCGAUUCCGCCAUAUGCAUUGUGAGGGCCAAUCAGCCCUCAACUCCUAUUAUGUACUAGAGUGCCGAUAUCCCUUGACUACAAGCACCAAUCAAUUGGAGAAUAGUGUGUUCAUCCCUCGGCUCUCCAUGAGGUGUGUGUCAAUUGAUUGGAGGUGGUACAAUCAUCCCUCAGCUCUCGAUGAGAUGAAUAUCAAUCAAUCGCAGAGUAGUACGAUCAUCCCUCGGCUCGCCGUGAGGUGUGUGUUAACCGAUUGGAGAGUAGAAAGAUCAUCCCUCGGCUCUCCAUGAGGUGUGUGUCAACCAAUCGCAAAAUAGUACAAUCAUCCCUCGGCUCUCCAUCAAGUGUGUGUCAACCGAUCAGAGAGUAGUACAAUCUCCUUCCGCUCUUCGUAAGGUGUGUAUAAACCGAUCGGAAAGUAGUACGAUCUCCCUCAGCGCUUCAUGAGGGGUAUUGGUCCUGCCACAUUCUCAUACGUAUUCUGGUGAAGAAUUACCAUCGGUUCCACACCAUACGGUAGAGUGCCUGAGGUAGGGGGAGAAACCAAAUCACCGAAGUUCGGUUCGUGACUUCCAGAUUAUAGCCGGACUUCACGCUUCAGAUUGAUCAGGAAUUUCUUCUCGGCGGCGCUCUGUUGAUGGUUGUUACCGCUUCGUGCUUGAGCAGAUCCAAACUGGGCGAUCUCGGAGCGUGACAAUAUUUUGAUGAGAUAUUAGUUUGAUUAGGGGAUAGAAAUUGUGGCCAUAGGAUUUGAAGUAAACUGGUGAUUUCUAUCGUUUAGUGUAACAAAAAAAAAAAACUACGAUCGGAGAUCUCCAAAAUUUGGCUAAAUUUGGCUAAAUAUUUAGAUGAGCAGAGAAUUCCUUUUUCAAAAAACAUACAAACAUUCAAUAUUGUAAUGGCCCAAUUGUAGUUCGAAAGUUUUCGGUGUCAUUAUUUCUUCAGUAGUUCAAUUAUUAGUGAAUAUUUUCAA